rnacentral:rRNA from 1 species
GGCAAUGGGGGUCUAUAAUGCAGUCGAACGCUUCUUUUUCCACCGGAGCUUGCUCCACCGGAAAAAGAGGAGUGGCGAACGGGUGAGUAACACGUGGGUAACCUGCCCAUCAGAAGGGGAUAACACUUGGAAACAGGUGCUAAUACCGUAUAACAAUCAAAACCGCAUGGUUUUGAUUUGAAAGGCGCUUUCGGGUGUCGCUGAUGGAUGGACCCGCGGUGCAUUAGCUAGUUGGUGAGGUAACGGCUCACCAAGGCCACGAUGCAUAGCCGACCUGAGAGGGUGAUCGGCCACAUUGGGACUGAGACACGGCCCAAACUCCUACGGGAGGCAGCAGUAGGGAAUCUUCGGCAAUGGACGAAAGUCUGACCGAGCAACGCCGCGUGAGUGAAGAAGGUUUUCGGAUCGUAAAACUCUGUUGUUAGAGAAGAACAAGGAUGAGAGUAACUGUUCAUCCCUUGACGGUAUCUAACCAGAAAGCCACGGCUAACUACGUGCCAGCAGCCGCGGUAAUACGUAGGUGGCAAGCGUUGUCCGGAUUUAUUGGGCGUAAAGCGAGCGCAGGCGGUUUCUUAAGUCUGAUGUGAAAGCCCCCGGCUCAACCGGGGAGGGUCAUUGGAAACUGGGAGACUUGAGUGCAGAAGAGGAGAGUGGAAUUCCAUGUGUAGCGGUGAAAUGCGUAGAUAUAUGGAGGAACACCAGUGGCGAAGGCGGCUCUCUGGUCUGUAACUGACGCUGAGGCUCGAAAGCGUGGGGAGCAAACAGGAUUAGAUACCCUGGUAGUCCACGCCGUAAACGAUGAGUGCUAAGUGUUGGAGGGUUUCCGCCCUUCAGUGCUGCAGCUAACGCAUUAAGCACUCCGCCUGGGGAGUACGACCGCAAGGUUGAAACUCAAAGGAAUUGACGGGGGCCCGCACAAGCGGUGGAGCAUGUGGUUUAAUUCGAAGCAACGCGAAGAACCUUACCAGGUCUUGACAUCCUUUGACCACUCUAGAGAUAGAGCUUCCCCUUCGGGGGCAAAGUGACAGGUGGUGCAUGGUUGUCGUCAGCUCGUGUCGUGAGAUGUUGGGUUAAGUCCCGCAACGAGCGCAACCCUAU